CUUGACCCGAGAAAUGGUUGAGAAGAAAAUAAAUAAAGGCGAAGGUUAAAUACACGCAGCACCAGUGCAGAUUGAAGAGAUGCCUUGAGAGGCAAGUAAGAAAAAUUAAGACUGAUUUCCUAUGCUGAUUUCCAUAGUGGAUACAUUGAUGUAUAUGUCCAACAAUGAUUGGACUCCUGGAGCCCCGCCUGGGAGCCAGCUGUGGAUCUCUGCGUCUGCUUCCAUCAGUCAUUGGAUGAGAGUUCUAUCAUGACAGUUAGGGUAUUCAGCUAUCCGAUCUCCAGAGUAGGUCAGCUCAGGCACCCUCUCGACCAUUGCCAGUAGUCUAUAAUGGAAUCAUCUUUGUGGAUUCCUGGGAACCUCUCUAGUACUCUGCUUCUUCCUAUUCCCAUGGUGUCUUUAUUUAUCAUGGUAUCUCUUUCCUUGUUCUCCCACUCUGUUCCUGAUCCAGCUGUGACCUCCCACUCCCCUAAGCUCUCUUUCCCUCGACCUUGCCUUCCAUUACCCCCCCUCACGCCCAGUUUGCUCCUGUAGAUCUCAUCCAUUUCUCCAUCACUGGGCCUGUUUGUUUUCCAAUGAGAGAGAAAAAAAGAUGUGGGUUUUUGAUGGGAAGGGAGGAUCUGGGAGGAACUGGGGCAAGGGAAACAAUUAUUAGAAUAUAUUGUAUUUUAAAAAGCCUAUUUUCAAUAUAGAAAUAAAGGAUAAAAGGAAUGAACUACAAAAUAAUGUUCAGAAUGUGUCAUGGCUACUUGCUUACUGCUCUUAUCUAGAUAUACAGAGAGUGAGCAACAUGUGGAGCAGAAAAGACAUGAAAGUGUGUCACUUGAUUGAGAAGUGAAUGAAUUUAAACUUAUAGACCAGCAAGGCAGUUGAGACCACAGCUGCGAUUGCU